GAUGAACGCUGGCGGCGUGCCUAAUACAUGCAAGUCGAACGGGGAGUAGCAAUACUCUUAGUGGCGAACGGGUGAGUAACGCGUUGGUACCUGCCCCGAAGCGGGGGAUAACGGACCGAAAGGUCCGCUAAUACCCCAUGUGCUCGGUAACGAGUAAAGGUGAAAACCACUUUGGGAGGGGCAUGCGUCCCAUCAGCUAGUUGGUAAGGUAACGGCUUACCAAGGCGGUGACGGGUAGGGGACCUGAGAGGGUGGCCCCCCACAAUGGAACUGAAACACGGUCCAUACACCUACGGGUGGCAGCAGUAGGGAAUAUUGGUAAUGGGCGCAAGCCUGGACCAGCAACGCCGCGUGUGCGAUGACGGCCUUCGGGUUGUAAAGCACUUUUGACUGGGACGAGGAAGGACGGUACCGGUCGAAUCAGCCUCGGCUAACUACGUG
rnacentral:rRNA from 1 species